UCGUAUAUAUAUGUUUAUAGGUUUAUUCGUAUCAACAAAUCUGUGUACGAGUUAAUAACGCACCCUGGGUUCCCUGCAUUUUCAGUGACAGAGAACCAGAUAUAAGAAUGCAGGGAAACAAGCCUUGUUACAAGGUUUGAGGGUCUCUGCUAGAAUCAUGUGGACCCCAGUGUAACACAUCUAUGGAAAGAGAGAAAAUCUCAGCUCAAGGGUCAACAUGUCUUUAUUCCAAGAAAGAGUGUACAUAUGCCAGAAUCAUAUGGACCGCAGACUGGCCCUGGUGAUUCCGUUAAGAAAAAAGAGGAAAAAUCAGUGCUUGUGCUCAUUGGUCAUUGGACAAAGGGUGUAUGCCAGAAUUUUUUGAAGAACAGUCUGAAUCUGACAUGGAAAAAAUGAAGAAAAACAGCCUUCCUGUUUAUAAAUCUACAUUCUGACAAAGGAUCAUUUCCUUGAGAUAGGUGGAACCAACAGUCAAAUCCAGACACCUUUAAGAAAAGUAAAAAUCUGACUCAGGUAAGAAAGAAAUUCAGUUCUUAAAUUGCCCUCAGAGUUCUUGGAUUGCAUCAAACUGCUAAAAGACCUCAACAAAAACAGUGUCUUGAAAAAAAAUGAAAAUAUUCAGUGAAAAAAAAAUUAUGAGAGAAAAAGCCACUAAAAAUCUUCAAGCCUUUGAGCUGAAAUCUGGAAGUCAAUCUGUGGACUUUACUGGUAUGUCUUACUAAUUAAGUCAUCAUUUGUGUAUAAUAAAUACACUAAACUGUAAACACUUGUUAAAAUGUAUAUAAUUUUUAGAUAUAAUUUGUAGCUCAUAGACAUCAAUAGUUUCAUG